rnacentral:rRNA from 1 species
CGUUUAGGGGUAAACCUGAGAAACCCGAAAGAUCGAAGGAAGAAAUUCAUUCGUGGUUCGAUGCAAAUGAUUAGUGGUUUGUAUGACGAGCGCUUAUAGUGAUUGCGUGAGCAUCUGCCAUUAUUCGUUUUGUGACGAACACGUGCACUUUUCUUCUGGUAGAACGUCGCGAUCCGUUGGGUGCCGGUCUACGAUUUCCAGUGGAGAUUGAGCGUUACACGAAUUUUCGUGGACACGCUUGAACCUGUGAUUCUCUGACCGGCUUGCCUGACGGUAUACAAACGGUUUAGGGCCGCUCGGUAAGGAGCGUUCGUCUCUUAACAAGCACGCUAGUUGUGUUGAAGAUCGGCUCUAGGGCCGGUCCCGACCGCUAGCGACUGUUGGUUAGGAUGUUCUCGAACCGACCCUACGCUAGAAAAACCGAUCUGCGACGCUAUAGCUUUGGGUACUUUCAGGACCCGUCUUGAAACACGGACCAAGGAGUCUAGCAUGUACGCAAGUCAUUGGGAAGUACUAAACCUAAAGGCACAAUAAAAGUAAAGAUCUUCCUUGCGGGGAUCUAGGGAAGACGGUGGGCCUGCUUUUCAGCGGUCUAUCUGCAUUCCCGGGGCGUCUCAUUCUCAUCGCGAGAAGAGGCGCACCAAGAGCGUACACGCUGGGACCCGAAAGAUGGUGAACUAUGCCUGGUCAGGAUGAAGUCAGGGGAAACCCUGAUGGAGGUCCGUAGCGAUUCUGACGUGCAAAUCGAUCGUCGGAACUGGGUAUAGGGGCGAAAGACUAAUCGAACCAUC